rnacentral:rRNA from 1 species
ACUAGUGAGUACACGUAGGAAUCUACCCCUCGGAGGGAAUAACCAAUCGAAAGAUUGGCUAAUACCCAAGAAGUCCCGCAAGGAACAGAGUCGAAAGGCCUGGAGGGAUGAGCCUGCGGCCCAUCAGCUAGUUGGUGAGGUAAGAGCUUACCAAGGCUACGACGGGUAGGGGGCCUGAGAGGGCGUCCCCACGCUGGAACUGAAACACGGUCCAGACGCCUACGGGUGGCAGCAGUGAGGAAUUUUGGUCAAUGGGCGAAAGCCUGAACCAGCAACGCCGCGUGAAGGAUGAAGGCCCUCGGGUCGUAAACUUCUUUUAGGGGAGAAGAGAAAGGACGGUAUCCCCUGAAUAAGCCACGGCAAACUACGUGCCAGCAGUCGCGGUAAAACGUAGGUGGCGAGCGUUAUCCGGAUUUACUGGGCGUAAAGCGCUUGUAGGUGGUUUUGUAAGUUGGGCGUGAAAUCUCCGGGCUUAACUUGGAGAGGCCGUCCAAUACUGCGAGGCUAGAGGUUAUUCGAGGACAGUGGAAUUCCUGGUGUAGUAGUGAAAUGCGUAGAUAUCAGGAGGAAC